GAAGAGGUGACGUUGCUCUACACCCAGAAACCGUGACUUGAAGAAUGUGGCAUUAAAAUAAACAGAAACUGAAGAAUCUGAUUAUGCAGGCAUGAACAAAUUGUCUGCCCCAACUCUGAACUGUGAAAAAUUCAAUGUCUAAGGCUUCAUAAUAUUUGAGAUUCUUACUAACAUGUUAUUUCAAGGAAGAAGUAUUUGAGGUACCUCUUCCAUCUGAUCUACAAAGUUUGGUAAUACUGGAAAAGUCUGUAUCGAUUGAUUGCCCACAGAUU